GGGUGCUAGGGAGUCUGUAGCUCUGACCAUCCGGCCUUCCAUGAAUUCAGGUGCAGUUGGUCCACUCCUUGGCAGCCACCAGGAUGCGUGCUGUUGAGCAUUCUGUGAGCCCAAAGAGCAACAGGCUACCUGUGAUGAAGAAGGUGGAGAUUCCCCAAGGGGAGACAAUGACUCCUCGGCAGCGGAAGUGGAUGCAUAGCCUCCCCAAUGAUUGGAUCACAGAAAACCCUGUUCUGUUCAGGGAAAAGGAGAAAGCCAGAUGGGAAAAGGCACAAGAGAGUGAGAGCCAGAUUGCUGCCCGAGAAGUGCGAGGCCUCAUGGACACCAUCGGUGAGCAUUGGACCAGCCUGGAGCAUAGGUCUGUACUGGGUAGGAGGGAGCCCCAGACAG
rnacentral:lncRNA from 1 species